rnacentral:rRNA from 1 species
CGUACGGCGAGCCUAUAAUGCAAGUCGAGCGAACAGAAGGGAGCUUGCUCCCGGAUGUUAGCGGCGGACGGGUGAGUAACACGUGGGUAACCUGCCUGUAAGACUGGGAUAACUCCGGGAAACCGGAGCUAAUACCGGAUAGUUCCUUGAACCGCAUGGUUCAAGGAUGAAAGACGGUUUCGGCUGUCACUUACAGAUGGACCCGCGGCGCAUUAGCUAGUUGGUGGGGUAAUGGCUCACCAAGGCGACGAUGCGUAGCCGACCUGAGAGGGUGAUCGGCCACACUGGGACUGAGACACGGCCCAGACUCCUACGGGAGGCAGCAGUAGGGAAUCUUCCGCAAUGGACGAAAGUCUGACGGAGCAACGCCGCGUGAGUGAUGAAGGUUUUCGGAUCGUAAAGCUCUGUUGUUAGGGAAGAACAAGUGCGAGAGUAACUGCUCGCACCUUGACGGUACCUAACCAGAAAGCCACGGCUAACUACGUGCCAGCAGCCGCGGUAAUACGUAGGUGGCAAGCGUUGUCCGGAAUUAUUGGGCGUAAAGGGCUCGCAGGCGGUUUCUUAAGUCUGAUGUGAAAGCCCCCGGCUCAACCGGGGAGGGUCAUUGGA